GACUGACAGAAUCGGAGAGGUGAAAGGGGCCUUGGAAAUCUGUUCCCUUGCAGAGACCAGGGUCUGACAGGUGAAGUCAUCCUCCUAGCUCAGCCCCUUGUGGCCAGCUGCUGCGUCAAUGGCUGCUUUCACACCAUAGCUGAUGACCAGUGUAGAAGGAGCAAUACCAGUUCUCCUCCUUUUCCCCCCAGAUCGGAGCUGAUGCAGGAGAGCAGCAGCAAUGGCAGUGCUGGGCAGAGCCAGGGCCUGUCCUCAGAUGAGAGCUCUUCCCCUCCAUCCUCGGUGCCUCAAGCACUGAACUUUUCUCCAGAGAAGAGUGACUUUCCUCCUUCCCAAGGCUCCUCCACAGGAACAGGUCAGGGUGAAGCAGAGCCUCAUGAAGACAUGCACCCCAGUGAGGUACCUGGAGGUGAAUGCAGUUCCACACCAUCUGAGGUACAUGGAGAGUCAUGAACAGGGACUCACAGUUCCCUCCCUGCCUCACCUUGUGGCUGGGGCCCAUGUUUCCAGCAGAAAUGUUUGGCAAAGGAGUUGGUCAGGGGUUAGAGUUCAGGAGUGGGAGCAGGCUGAAGCUCUGUACUAGCUGUGGGUAGGGGUACACUGCCCUGAGGGGAUCUUACUCCCACUAAGGGCCCACUCCAGCUUUUCCCUUGGGCUCCAGGCUGUGAGCCUCGGGUCCUGGGCAAAACCUGGCUUCCCAGAGUGGUUGCUUGGCACUGAUGUGGUGCUUGGACUUUACCUCUCUCGUGCUCUGCUUAGGGUCUUCUGCUAGACAUCAAGCUGGACCAGCUCACCAUCGCUCCUGAAGCCGGAGACAGAGACUUAGCCGACUGCCCUCUCAUCGACUUCAGCAACACCCCUGAGUCGAACAUGGCUUUGGGACCUAGCAGCUGGCCCCUGAUAGACCUCAUAAUGAAUACUCCAAACAUGGGUAGAAGUGAUGUGGGGAAGCCUCCAAAGGCUGAGCUCGGCCAGGUGAGAAGCAGCAGGGGAUUCGUGCUGAUUUCACCCCAGGGUGCUAUCAGGUCUGUGCAAUGCAUGGUGGCCUUGGGGCUCACAGGGUUUGUGUCUCAGACUCAUGCUUGACUUCUCCGUGGUCACCCACUGCCGGCAGGCAUCUUGCUGGACCUAGAGGAACACCAAGGACAGCAGUCAAAUCCCCAGUACCACUCCUGCCUGCACGCCAUGCAGGAAGUCACAGUGUUGAUGGGUUUGAGGUUUCCUGAGAGUCUUAGACAUGAUGUCUGAGUCUCCUUGCCUCACUGCUGCUGUUUUCUGUCCCUGGGCCCCAGGUGGGAUUGGCUCAGUCACUGCAGCUUCUUGUAUGACAGCACAGACAGCUGUGUUGACUUGACUUCUGCAUUCUCUUCCAG
rnacentral:lncRNA from 1 species